UCCGAAUUAGUAUAUCGGCUAGUAUGACCGCCUCUCACUUGAUGCAACGAUGUGAACGCGGUAGAGACGGGUUCGACUCCCGUAUUCGGAA
rnacentral:tRNA from 1 species